rnacentral:rRNA from 1 species
ACUGUGUGUCGUCAUGUGAACUGCAGGACACAUGAGCAUCGACAUUUUGAACGCAAAUGGCGG